GCGAAGGUGGGAGGCGGCAGUGCCAACCCCAGGGCAGGAUUUCUCCGCUGAAGAGAGGUAGACCCUGAGAGUACCCUCCCCUUGGGAACAUCACGGAUCUGCGCCGCCUCCACCAGGCUGGCCUCAGGGGCUGCUCCCUCGAGUACCCUGGCCCUGCUGGACCGUGGCUGGGGAUGGCAGCAAGGAGAUGGACAUGGCACUCCCAGAGCCGUGGCUGCUGCAGGUGCUCAAAGGGCUGCUGCGAGAACAGAGGGAGAGCUCUCCAAACCCCAGCACGGUUCUCAGUCAUCAUGAGACCGGAACACAGAGGCCCACACACGACCGCUGGACAUGUUUAAGAAAAUGCCAAUGUAUUUCCACUAGAAAAAUCCUCUUUUCCUAAAUACAUGUCUCUAUGUUGAAUAAGUUAAAAUAGCAUCUCC
rnacentral:lncRNA from 1 species